GUCCUGUUUGACGAGUCCCAAACAGGACGAAACGCGCGUCCUGGAU
rfam:Schistosoma margrebowiei strain Zambia genome assembly, scaffold: SMRZ_scaffold0002062